GAUUUGAAUUUGAAACUUAAAGAAGUUAUACCAGACUCGACUCCGCUGGAUGAACCUAACUCGGAAGGUGAAUUAGGCAAACCUGAAGAUAAAGAAAUAUUAGAAAAUAAUGCAAUGAAACAGAAAUUUGCUGAAAUGAUAAAGACAAUGAAUGCAUUUAAUCAUAUUAAAAUUAGUGAGAGCGCACCUGAUUACGCGUCAUUCAUGCCUUCACAUGUUUCAAGUAACUUGAGAGACUGGUGGUUCUUUAACGAGGAUGAUCGCAAAACAAGCUAAAAUCAUCAUCUAUUAAGAUGAAAUAGUAAAAGUAAAUCAUAAACCAUACUAUUAGAAGCAAUAAAGUGACUUUUAGUAAAACAUCUUUGAGUGUUUUUAAUUUUCAGAA